rnacentral:tRNA from 1 species
GCGCCGGUGGUGUAAGGCGAACAUCGCUGCCCGGAAAGCAGAAGAUGCGGGUUCGAGUCCGCCUGGCGCU